rnacentral:lncRNA from 1 species
ACAUUCAAAUAUAUAACCUUUUGACUUUCAGUCGUCAGUUCCACAGCUGAAAGCAAGUAAACAAGUAUUUGGUGAUCAAAUGCUUUAAGAAGCACCACAAAAAAGGAAGCACAUAUAAAGAAUUCUAAAACGGUCAACCUCAUGCAUAAAUAGCUAAAAACCACUACAUGAGUUGAAUUACCCACCCUUACAUGUUUAUAAAUCCUUAACACUGUGCUUCAUAACUCCCCGUACUCAAAACUUUGUAAAGGAACCCUAGUUUGUUCAAAACCUAAAAUUCUUACAAAUUUUGAUCAAUCUUACAGGUCUGUAAUCAUCUUUGAUGUAUAUAGUUACAAGUGUCAUUUCCGGAAGCCUUUGCAACUGAACUAGCCGGUCGCUAUUUAGCUACAGCAGAAACAUCCUUCCUCAACCGUGACCUUGAAAACCUCAUAACUAGCAUAGUCGUUAUUUUCCAGAAUAGUUUAAGGACAAAAACAAGAAAUCUUCCAUAUAAAAGCUAGCAAAACAUUGAAAUGUCAUUCCCUUCAAUGGUGGAACUCCGAAAAGUAGAAGAAAAACGGGUCCAUUUCUAACAUACCAGAUGACUUCACAAGAAACCCAAGAUGCAAACGAAGAGAACCAAAGCAGCAGGGAAUAUCUACUAUUUGGUUAUUGUGGACACCCUAGUUGGUAAAACAGUUCCAUAUACCCAUUGUGAAAAGGAGUAGCACAAUUUUAAAGAAGCAUCAAAGAAGAAGAAAACAAAAGAGAAAAUGGUGCCAAAAGAGGAAGGCGACACUCAACUUAGAACAAGCACCAAUAAACCAUACAUUAUUUCGUUAAGAUUUGUUGAUUAAUUAUUAGAGCUACAUGUCUCCAGAAAUAUAGACAUGCAUGGGAGAUUGUUCCAUAUUUAAUAUUAGCAAUAAUCCUUGAAGGUUGCGAGAGAGAAAAAGUACUAUCAC